AUUUAAAGAUCCAAAAAAAAGUGGAGUUAUGUUUCCGGAUGCAGUGAAAAAGGAUUUAGCUGUAAACUUUACUUUGCAUGGCGAAACACCUACACGCUGUCAAAAUGGACAUUUAAUUCUUUUAUUCAUUAAUAACGGGUGGAUACUCCAUCUUACAUCUUAUAAUGUGGUUGGAGAACACUGGGGGAGAGGCAGAGGGUGUUCCAGCCACACAUCCCAGUCAUGAAGUCAAUUAAUACAACACUUUUAAAUGCUGUAUAGUAAGAAAUUACAAUUUAAACUUUUAAACACAAAAUAUAAUCAGUGUUUUUUACAAUUUAAAUUUACAAUUUGAACUUUUUAACACAAAAUAUAAUCAGUGUUUUUUAUGUUAAAGUAUUUAUGAGAAUGGAACAAUUCACUACAAGGGUGUUAAAACGUAACAAAGACAUGGACUUUUUAAUCUAAAAUAGACCACUAAUAUUUGGAAAUGGAAUGGAAGCAAAUUAGAACAAUUUUUUGUGUAUAAAGAUAAUAUAUUUUAUCAGAAAAACACUUUUUCGUGUGAAAAA
rnacentral:misc_RNA from 1 species